rnacentral:rRNA from 1 species
ACGGAAGGCAGCAGUGGGGAAUAUUGCACAAUGGGCGCAAGCCUGAUGCAGCGGUGCCGCGUGAGGGAAGAAGGUUUUCGGAUUGUAAACCUCUGUCAACAGGGACGAAAAUGACGGUACCUGUGAAGGAAGCUCCGGCUAACUACGUGCCAGCAGCCGCGGUAAUACGUAGGGAGCAAGCGUUAUCCGGAAUUACUGGGUGUGAAGGGAGUGUAGGCGGGACUGUAAGUCAGAUGUGAAAUAUGCCGGCUCAACUGGCAGACUGCAUUUGAAACUGCGGUUCUUGAGUGAAGUAGAGGUAAGCGGAAUUCCUAGUGUAGCGGUGAAAUGCGUAGAUAUUAGGAGGAACAUCAGUGGCGAAGGCGGCUUACUGGGCUUUAACUGACGCUGAGGCUCGAAAGCGUGGGGAGCAAACAGGAUUAGAUACCCUGGUA